AACGCACAUUGCGCCCCCUGGUAUUCCGGGGGGCAUGCCUGUUCGAGCGUCAUUACAACCCUCAAGCUCUGCUUGGUAUUGGGCUCUGCCGGUCCCGGCAGGCCCUAAAAUCAGUGGCGGUGCCAUCCGGCUUCAAGCGUAGUAAUUCUUCUCGCUUUGGAGGCCCGGGUGCGUGCUUGCCAGCAACCCCCAAUUUUUUUCAGGUUGACCUCGGAUCAGGUAGGGAUACCCGCUGAACUUAA
rnacentral:misc_RNA from 1 species